GAUGAACGCUGGCGGCGUGCCUAAUACAUGCAAGUCGAGCGAACAGAUGAGAAGCUUGCUUCUCUGAUGUUAGCGGCGGACGGGUGAGUAACACGUGGGUAACCUACCUAUAAGACUGGGAUAACUCCGGGAAACCGGGGCUAAUACCGGAUAAUAUUUUGAACCGCAUGGUUCAAUAGUGAAAGACGGUUGCGGCUGUCACUUAUAGAUGGACCCGCGCCGUAUUAGCUAGUUGGUAAGGUAAAGGCUUACCAAGGCGACGAUACGUAGCCGACCUGAGAGGGAGAGCGGCCACACUGGAAAUGAGACACGGUCCAGACUCCUACGGGAGGCAGCAGUAGGGAAUCUUCCGCAAUGGGCGAAAGCCUGACGGAGCAACGCCGCGUGAGUGAUGAAGGUCUUCGGAUCGUAAAACUCUGCUGUUAGGGAAGAACAAAUUUGUUAGUAACUGAACAAGUCUUGACGGUACCUAACCAGAAAGCCACGGCUAACUACGUGCCAGCCGCCGCCGUAA
rnacentral:rRNA from 1 species